AAUUAGGGCUUAAAAUUUUAUAAAAAAUGAAUACUAAAAUAAAAUAUAAAAAUUUUAAAAACAGUUUCAAAAAGUAUUUUUAAAUUAUAAAAAGAAAAUUUGAAAAAAAUUCAAAAAAAAAUUCAAAAAUAAAUUCAAAAAAAAAUUAUAAAAAUUUCGAAUCUAAAAACAUAUAAUCUGAAACUAUAAAAAAAAUUCUUUUUUUCAUUUUUUUAUUUUUAUUUUAUUUAUUUUUAUUUAUUUUUGUUUAUUUAUUUAAUUUUAAACCAAGGGUAUUAGGGAUAAUUUACCCUUUAACGAAUGUCAUUUUUGCGACUUUUUCCUUCUAGUGUUAUUUUUGAGACAUAAACUUCAAAAAGUGCUAUUAUUGA
rnacentral:lncRNA from 1 species